rnacentral:rRNA from 1 species
CCAACAAGCUUGCUUGUUGGGGUUGUAGGACACUCUAUACGGAGUUACAAAGGACGACAUUAGACGAAUCAUCUGGAAAGAUGAAUCAAAGAAGGUAAUAAUCCUGUAGUCGAAAAUGUUGUCUCUCUUGAGUGGAUCCUGAGUACGACGGAGCACGUGAAAUUCCGUCGGAAUCUGGGAGGACCAUCUCCUAAGGCUAAAUACUCUCUAGUGACCGAUAGUGAACCAGUACCGUGAGGGAAAGGUGAAAAGCACCCCGGAAGGGGAGUGAAAUAGAACCUGAAACCGUGUGCUUACAAGUAGUCAGAGCCCGUUAAUGGGUGAUGGCGUGCCUUUUGUAGAAUGAACCGGCGAGUUACGAUUUGAUGCAAGGUUAAGCAGUAAAUGUGGAGCCGUAGCGAAAGCGAGUCUGAAUAGGGCGUUUAGUAUUUGGUCGUAGACCCGAAACCAGGUGAUCUACCCUUGGUCAGGUUGAAGUUCAGGUAACACUGAAUGGAGGACCGAACCGACUUACGUUGAAAAGUGAGCGGAUGAACUGAGGGUAGCGGAGAAAUUCCAAUCGAACCUGGAGAUAGCUGGUUCUCUCCGAAAUAGCUUUAGGGCUAGCCUCAAGUGAUGAUUAUUGGAGGUAGAGCACUGUUUGGACGAGGGGCCCCUCUCGGGUUACCGAAUUCAGACAAACUCCGAAUGCCAAUUAAUUUAACUUGGGAGUCAGAACAUGGGUGAUAAGGUCCGUGUUCGAAAGGGAAACAGCCCAGACCACCAGCUAAGGUCCCAAAAUAUAUGUUAAGUGGAAAAGGAUGUGGCGUUGCCCAGACAACUAGGAUGUUGGCUUAGAAGCAGCCAUCAUUUAAAGAGUGCGUAAUAGCUCACUAGUCGAGUGACACUGCGCCGAAAAUGUACCGGGGCUAAACAUAUUACCGAAGCUGUGGAUUGUCCUUUGGACAAUGGUAGGAGAGCGUUCUAAGGGCGUUGAAGCAUGAUCGUAAGGACAUGUGGAGCGCUUAGAAGUGAGAAUGCCGGUGUGAGUAGCGAAAGACGGGUGAGAAUCCCGUCCACCGAUUGACUAAGGUUUCCAGAGGAAGGCUCGUCCGCUCUGGGUUAGUCGGGUCCUAAGCUGAGGCCGACAGGCGUAGGCGAUGGAUAACAGGUUGAUAUUCCUGUACCACCUAUA